UGUCCAUCGUGUCCAAGAUGAUCUCGCCACACAUAUUAGCAAUGUUAUGUUGUGUGAAAAAAAAUCAAAAAAAAAUCUGAGUAUCAUAUUCAGUACGCUGUACGCAUAUACAGUUGGCUGCCUGAACGGGCCGCCAUGGCUAAAUGUAACGCUUGAGCGGAAUAGGAGCUCGACGUGGAUCACGAGGAGAAACCGGGACAAUGUUUUUCCCAUUGUGAUGCAAAAGAAGAAAAGCCCGGUGCAGGAUAAACCUCUGGGAUCCAAGCCGGCUUUAGCCAGUGAUAGCUGGUCUCGGAGCACCGGAAGUCUCACAGUGCAGGAUGACGGACAUCCCGUCAAUCACGGUGCUGUCGGAGGGUCCGGCUGUGAUGUUGGGAGCGAUACCUGUGAUGGGCGCGCGCACACACACACACACACACACACACGAGGAAUAAGUAAAAUAUUGCAAAAAGAGAAUGUAAGUAAGAGGCAAGGGAGUAAUCCCACUCGGUGUACUGUAAGCCAAGCCUCUUGAAUUUUUGUCGUUCGUGAUUCCUAUGACACGUCCUUCACCUUCAUGCCGUGCCAAACAAA